AUUGGGUGCAUGCUACAUUAACAUAAUUUUAACAUGCAACUUCAACAAUAUAAAUUCUUGUUUUGUGUCUGAACAUAAUAAAAUCACGUAAAUGUAACAACUUCAACAGGUUACAUCAAUAUUUUAUGUUAACUCAACGUAAUAAAAAUAGGUUUAGACAACAACAUGUCCAGAGCUGAAGGUGGCAGUAAUGAGCAAAUUCACAACUUGGACUACGGCCCUGCCGCUUCUUCAGGAUCCUGACGUAAAGGAAAACACCUGUUCAUGAUGUGUGCAAGAAGGUGUUAGAGCAGAGAACUACUGGAAACGGAAAACAGAAGUACAGAGACUUGCCCUAAUGGAAAGGUAACCCAUGAGCAUUAAAUAGAAAUGUGCUGUCAUGCUAUGCAUUUCCUGAGGUAAUUUACACGAACCUACCAAAAUGGUGUUUGAGUUAUUUCACUCUACAUAUUGUUUGCAUUGUAUAUCGUAUUAUCAUAAAUCUAUUUGUUUCACACGGUAAAGGAAAAUAAUCAAAUUGCUUACACAAGUAUUUAUUUAAUUAAGCUUUAACAUUUGUACCUUUUUAUAAGAUUGUGUACUCAUUUCACAGCACAUAAUUGGUUUCCUAAUUUAUUACAGCUAUUUUGACUUGAAACCUGUUCUUUAUCAUCUAAAAUGUGUCUCUUGGUGUUUACCUCCAAUGGCCAUUCUGUGAAAGUGUCCCAUUCUAGAGCUGAGAAGAGACAGCAGGACAGGGAAUCAUCUGCUAGUGUCGCGUCAGAUGUCUACAUGUCCACAAGUUGUUUAAGAAAAAGGAAGUAGAUACAACUAUCGCAAACACAAGGCAAGAAGUUAUCAGAGAUGAACCCUUCAUCACAGAGUUCAAAACCAGAUGGCCUGCUCUCUUCUGUGUUUCUGAGAAUAAAUUUAAGAGGACUACAACAGUUUGCUGCAACAGUUCUUCUCCAUGCUGGAUGGUUAUUCUUCAGACCUGAAAACGGUGUUUGGCAAGGAAGGCGGCAUUCAAGGACAAAAGAUUAAGAGCAUCAUGGUUCCCAUAACCCAGACUAACUCCAUUGAUGUCAGAAGAGUACAUCCUUUAAGCCCAGUGUGUGUUCCUCAAUGAAGAUCCUGGCAACCUUGUGAAAGAAUGGAUGAUCGUGGACGCCUUGAAGAAGCCAUGAUAGAGACAAUUCUUGAAGUUUUUGUCAUUCACAAAGAUGCAGAGGCAGAUGAUGACCCUGAAGAUGUAGUCAUCGUUUCAAGUCCUGGAUGAGUUGGGUAGUGUCCCACUUGCUGUGUUGUUGUUUGCUCUUGUUAUAUGCUCUCAACCUCAGCUACCCUCCACUAAAAGUUGUUUGAAAUAUUGGCCCAAUGCUGUAUGUACAAUACUGGAUGUUAGUGACAUUUUGUAGCUGCCUUUGACAUUUGAAAGCUGUUUUAUCGUUUUUAUGAAGCUUAUAAAGUAUUCUAACCAGUCUAAAUCCAA